AGCAGUCGCCACGGUAAUACGUAGGGUGCGAGCGUUAAUCGGAAUUACUGGGCGUAAAGCGUGCGCAGGCGGUUGUGUAAGACAGGUGUGAAAUCCCCGGGCUUAACCUGGGAACUGCGCUUGUGACUGCACAGCUAGAGUAUGGCAGAGGGGGGUGGAAUUCCACGUGUAGCAGUGAAAUGCGUAGAGAUGUGGAGGAACACCGAUGGCGAAGGCAGCCCCCUGGGCCAAUACUGACGCUCAUGCACGAAAGCGUGGGGAGCAAACAGGAUUAGAUACCCCCGUAGUCCCUGUCUCUUAUAC
rnacentral:rRNA from 1 species